GGUAAAACGCCCGGAACGCCGCCAGGAAGCCGGCGGGGUGCGCGGAGUCCUUGUAGAGCAAAUUACAAGCAAGCUGUAUCCAAGAUCUGGGGACAAACUCAAAGCAAGCUAUUCCAUAACUAAGUUCUGAAAAACACAGAAGAGACCAGCACAGAAUCUGGAAUAUUCAGCAGAAUCACAUCUGGAAUUAAGGAAACACCCAACUGUCCUGGUUUUGGCUGGGAUAGAGUUAACUUCCUUCUUAGUCACUGGUUAGUGCUGUUUUGGAUUUAUUAUGGGAAUCAUGUUGAUAACACACUGUUGUUUUGGUUGUUGCUAAGUGGUGCUUACCCAUAUUCAAGGACUUUUCAGUUUCCCAUGCUCUGUCAGUGAGAAGCUGCACAAGGAGCUGGGGCAGCAUGGCCAGGACAGCUGGGGUAUUCCCCAGCAUGGGAGGGGACACUCAGCACAGGAACUGGGGAGUUGGCUGGGAGGGGCCCAUCGCUGCUCGGGGGUGGGCUGGGCAUCCAGCAGUGGGUGGUGAGCACUGUAUUAUACAUCACUUGUUUCUCCUGAGCUUCAUUCCUUUCUCUCUCCUUUUCAUUACAAUUAUAUCAAUUUAGUAAUGCGAUAUUUUAUUUUGUUUCAAUUAUUAAAUUGUUUUUACCUCAACUCACAGGGUUUAAUUUUUUCCUCAGUUCUCCUCCCCACUGAGUGGGGGAUUGGAGUGCACAAGCUGCUCUACUUAGCUGCCAGCUGGGUUCAAACGAUGGCAACAACUUAAAACCCGAAGUAAUAUAUGAAAUUGUCCUAUGCAACAGCCAUUACCUUUCUUUUGUAUGACCUAUAAACCAGAAAACUUAAACCUGCCACAGCCUGAGACCCACCAGUCCUUAGGUGUCUUUGUGUCCUUCAGUAAAACAAUAGGCCAAGAUCCCAAAUAUGAACAUCUCAGACGCUUACCAAAUAUCCAUCACUAAAGCCAGGCUCCUGAGAACUGAAGUGUAUUACUUUGGACAUCUUAGACAGCAGAGUGUUCAAAGAACCUUCCACAAUACAGUAAAAUAGGUGGAGACAAGGAAAGAAGUGCACAAGGGAAAUUUAUGAAAACCAGCAGCCUGAAAACAGGCAAGACCACUCAAAAAUCUUCAAUUAAUGAAAAAGCAGGUACUGACAUAAUGAAAUGUCUAGAAGAAAAUGAGAAUAACAUUGCACAGAAAACAAAAGAAGACAGAUAUGGCAACUGCAGGCUGCUGAGCUACUCCUCAGACAUCUGCAACUGAGGUACUGUGAAAGUUGGCCUAAUCUCUCAGUUAUUAAAGCACUUAAGCUAAAUAUGAUCUCAGUUUAAUAGUAAACUACGUCAGCAUUUUGAACCUUUUCUGAUAUAUAAGAAUAAAAACAUUUGGCAUGAAAACACAUUAUUAAACUUUAAUGAGACUUACUUUUAAUACCUUUAUAUGCACAGUCCAAUACUUGGGGCUCAUCUCACUGUCAGUCAUAAAGAGAAAGACUGCAUGCUCACAAACAAUCCUUUAGAACUACUUAGAACAAUCUGUUUAAAAGUUAAAAUGGACAUAGACACUUCCUGCCAGACUCUAAAAGAUUGUGCUAUAGAUAAAAAUGAGAAUGACUAGGUAAAUCAGUGUAUACAAUGUAAAUGUAUGUACCAUUCUGUGAGCCUGUGCACUGCAGCAGCAAGCAAGGAGGAAGAAAGGCAUCUGGCUGGCUCAGAGCUGUCAGCAUGGAAGAUCAAACCAGUGUCAGCUCUGUAGAGAGGCAGCAGCAC